rnacentral:lncRNA from 1 species
AAUAUAAGAAGAGCCCAGACAUAGGAGGGGAAGUGUCCAUGGCAGGUGAAAAAGCAGUGUCUGUGUGGCCAAGAGCCCUUGGAGCAGGUGACAUGGUGGCCUGACCACUUUUCUAAAUCUUGGAGACAAUGAGAAUGGUAACUUACCAUGCUUCCAACUGCCAUCUUCACCAUAGAGCUGCAGUACUGUUCUCACAAAGUCCUUGGCAUUAAAACAAACAACGGGGCAUUUACACCUCAGUGUCCAAAACAGUAUGUUCCUAGACAAAGGAAAAUUCACCAUUUAGAUAGUAAUUUGGGUCUUGGAAAAAUAUUGUAAUAUCAAAUAGCUAUCUAUCCUUAUAUAGUAUAUACACACCUCGAUUAACUAAAGAAUCCUAUGAGCUCCUGUGCAGAAUACACACACUGGACCUGGUCCAAGCCUCCAAGUGUUCCACCUCUCAGCAUGCCAGGUCUUUCCUUCUGCCAUUGCACUGUGCCACUCCUACCCACACUGCUGGGGAUGGCAUAUGCUCUUGCAUGUCUACUCUUCUCCACCCACAACUUGUGCAACCUGCUCAAUAGAUGUUCUGGGCAAGCAGCCUACCCACACACCUUUCACAGAAGGACCCACAUGUGCUAAACUGCAGCUUCUUCCAUCACCUUAUGAGCUUCUGAAUGUGGGAUAACAGUUAACAUUUAUCAUAGCAGAUACCAGGCUACCAUUUCACAAGGUUGCCACACUGAAACUUAAUCACAGUACUACAAGGCAGGCACUCUAUCCAGUAUGCAGAUGAAGGGACUUGGAUUCAGAUAUGUCACACCAAAUAGAUGCCACCUUGACAGGUGUUCUGUACACAUGGCCCCAUUUGCUCAUGUGUAAUUCCAAGUCUCCAAGAGUACUCAUGGAAAAUGGAGCUGACAACUGAGAAUGGAGAACUGAGAAGGAUGCCUGAACUGGAGUAUGGCACACCUGCAGUCAAUUUUUGGCUUUUUGCACGCUGAGACAACACAUUAUAAGCCUAGUCACACAGCUCAAGUAGCCAGUUGUGUCUACUGGCCUGCUUGUACUUGAACCAAAUAAACCACUUCCAGGAC